UCCCACAAGGAUGGUGUAAUACUGUGUGA
rnacentral:piRNA from 1 species